rnacentral:rRNA from 1 species
AGAGUUUGAUCAUGGCUCAGAUUGAACGCUGGCGGCAGGCCUAACACAUGCAAGUCGAACGGUAACAUUUCUAGCUUGCUAGAAGAUGACGAGUGGCGGACGGGUGAGUAAUGCUUGGGAACUUGCCUUUGCGAGGGGGAUAACAGUUGGAAACGACUGCUAAUACCGCAUAACGUCUACGGACCAAACGGGGCUUAGGCUCCGGCGCAAAGGGAGGCCCAAGUGAGAUUAGCUAGUUGGUAAGGUAAUGGCUUACCAAGGCAACGAUCUCUAGCUGUUCUGAGAGGAAGAUCAGCCACACUGGAACUGAGGCACGGUCCAGACUCCUACGGGAGGCAGCAGUGGGGAAUAUUGCACAAUGGGGGAAACCCUGAUGCAGCCAUGCCGCGUGUGUGAAGAAGGCCUUCGGGUUGUAAAGCACUUUCAGUUGUGAGGAAAAGUUAGUAGUUAAUACCUGCUAGCCGUGACGUUAACAACAGAAGAAGUACCGGCUAACUCCGUGCCAGCAGCCGCGGUAAUACGGAGGGUGCGAGCGUUAAUCGGAAUUACUGGGCGUAAAGCGCACGCAGGCGGUUUGUUAAGCUAGAUGUGAAAGCCCCGGACUCAACCUGGGAUAGUCAUUUAGAACUGGCAGACUAGAGUCUUGGAGAGGGGAGUGGAAUUCCAGGUGUAGCGGUGAAAUGCGUAGAUAUCUGGAGGAACAUCAGUGGCGAAGGCGACUCCCUGGCCAAAGACUGACGCUCAUGUGCGAAAGUGUGGGUAGCGAACAGGAUUAGAUACCCUGGUAGUCCACACC